ensembl:lncRNA LINC00943 long intergenic non-protein coding RNA 943
GGGAACUCACAUGGGGGCUGGGCAGGGGGACCUAAGAGAUAGAUAAUCGGCACAUAUCGCUUCUCGGCCUUUUGGCUAAGAUCAAGUGAUAAUCAGCAAGUAAAUGCAGAGGAAGGAGAGCUGGGGAACUCUGGGCACAACUUUACAGCUUCGUGGUUCAUAUUCUUUUCUAGGAGAAAGGAAGGGUGGAUGAGGCCCCAAUCCAUCGGUUGGAAAUAAUGGGCUAUGUUUUAUUCCUCAGUGCACUGAGAAGGAGAGCAACAUUUAAGCGUGACGCCCUGGGGUGCUCCACUGAAGGAGACUACUGUGACACCUUGCGAGCAAGCAGGCUUCCUUUCUGAGGUUGCACCGAGCCAGCCCUAGAAAAGGAAGAAUCAACACUUUCAGAGAUGGAGCCUGUUGAGCCACAGUACCAACUAGUCAAUGCUGAAUCGACUUCUCCCUUUCUACAUUGCCUGAGAGAAGUCAUUGGGGAAUACUCUGUACACGAAUUUUCACUGUUGGGGAAAACAGAGAGUCAAGGGAUUGGAUUGUGGAUUGCAUUGGUGGUUUUCCUCAGUUUCCUCAUCUUCUCCACAAGUUUCUACAUAUCGAAUGCAGAGCAGCCCUUCUUCAAAGGACCUCCUACGGAAGCUGCUAAGGAACUCAGUCUGUAGCUCUGCGUGGAGCCAUGUGUAAACACUGAACUGAGACCUGCCACCUCCUACUACCUAAGGGCCCAUUUUCAUCUGAUAUCAUCCCCCAGAAACAAACUCAUGAUGACUUCCAUGUUUUUUUUAGAUUAGAUACAUGGAGAAUUUUCCUUUCCCUUAGAAUUAAAAUCCUGCAUUCUAA